GGUUAAGCGACUAAGCGUACACGGUGGAUGCCCUGGCAGUCAGAGGCGAUGAAGGACGUGCUAAUCUGCGAUAAGCGUCGGUAAGGUGAUAUGAACCGUUAUAACCGGCGAUUUCCGAAUGGGGAAACCCAGUGUGUUUCGACACACUAUCAUUAACUGAAUCCAUAGGUUAAUGAGGCGAACCGGGGGAACUGAAACAUCUAAGUACCCCGAGGAAAAGAAAUCAACCGAGAUUCCCCCAGUAGCGGCGAGCGAACGGGGAGCAGCCCAGAGCCUGAAUCAGUGUGUGUGUUAGUGGAAGCGUCUGGAAAGGCGCGCGAUACAGGGUGACAGCCCCGUACACAAAAAUGCACAUGCUGUGAGCUCGAUGAGUAGGGCGGGACACGUGGUAUCCUGUCUGAAUAUGGGGGGACCAUCCUCCAAGGCUAAAUACUCCUGACUGACCGAUAGUGAACCAGUACCGUGAGGGAAAGGCGAAAAGAACCCCGGCGAGGGGAGUGAAAAAGAACCUGAAACCGUGUACGUACAAGCAGUGGGAGCACGCUUCGGCGUGUGACUGCGUACCUUUUGUAUAAUGGGUCAGCGACUUAUAUUCUGUAGCAAGGUUAACCGAAUAGGGGAGCCGAAGGGAAACCGAGUCUUAACUGGGCGUUAAGUUGCAGGGUAUAGACCCGAAACCCGGUGAUCUAGCCAUGGGCAGGUUGAAGGUUGGGUAACACUAACUGGAGGACCGAACCGACUAAUGUUGAAAAAUUAGCGGAUGACUUGUGGCUGGGGGUGAAAGGCCAAUCAAACCGGGAGAUAGCUGGUUCUCCCCGAAAGCUAUUUAGGUAGCGCCUCGUGAAUUCAUCUCCGGGGGUAGAGCACUGUUUCGGCAAGGGGGUCAUCCCGACUUACCAACCCGAUGCAAACUGCGAAUACCGGAGAAUGUUAUCACGGGAGACACACGGCGGGUGCUAACGUCCGUCGUGAAGAGGGAAACAACCCAGACCGCCAGCUAAGGUCCCAAAGUCAUGGUUAAGUGGGAAACGAUGUGGGAAGGCCCAGACAGCCAGGAUGUUGGCUUAGAAGCAGCCAUCAUUUAAAGAAAGCGUAAUAGCUCACUGGUCGAGUCGGCCUGCGCGGAAGAUGUAACGGGGCUAAACCAUGCACCGAAGCUGCGGCAGCGACGCUGAUGCGUUGUUGGGUAGGGGAGCGUUCUGUAAGCCUGCGAAGGUGUGCUGUGAGGCAUGCUGGAGGUAUCAGAAGUGCGAAUGCUGACAUAAGUAACGAUAAAGCGGGUGAAAAGCCCGCUCGCCGGAAGACCAAGGGUUCCUGUCCAACGUUAAUCGGGGCAGGGUGAGUCGACCCCUAAGGCGAGGCCGAAAGGCGUAGUCGAUGGGAAACAGGUUAAUAUUCCUGUACUUGGUGUUACUGCGAAGGGGGGACGGAGAAGGCUAUGUUGGCCGGGCGACGGUUGUCCCGGUUUAAGCAUGUAGGCUGGUUUUCCAGGCAAAUCCGGAAAAUCAAGGCUGAGGCGUGAUGACGAGGCACUACGGUGCUGAAGCAACAAAUGCCCUGCUUCCAGGAAAAGCCUCUAAGCAUCAGGUAACAUCAAAUCGUACCCCAAACCGACACAGGUGGUCAGGUAGAGAAUACCAAGGCGCUUGAGAGAACUCGGGUGAAGGAACUAGGCAAAAUGGUGCCGUAACUUCGGGAGAAGGCACGCUGAUAUGUAGGUGAGGUCCCUCGCGGAUGGAGCUGAAAUCAGUCGAAGAUACCAGCUGGCUGCAACUGUUUAUUAAAAACACAGCACUGUGCAAACACGAAAGUGGACGUAUACGGUGUGACGCCUGCCCGGUGCCGGAAGGUUAAUUGAUGGGGUUAGCGCAAGCGAAGCUCUUGAUCGAAGCCCCGGUAAACGGCGGCCGUAACUAUAACGGUCCUAAGGUAGCGAAAUUCCUUGUCGGGUAAGUUCCGACCUGCACGAAUGGCGUAAUGAUGGCCAGGCUGUCUCCACCCGAGACUCAGUGAAAUUGAACUCGCUGUGAAGAUGCAGUGUACCCGCGGCAAGACGGAAAGACCCCGUGAACCUUUACUAUAGCUUGACACUGAACAUUGAGCCUUGAUGUGUAGGAUAGGUGGGAGGCUUAGAAGUGUGGACGCCAGUCUGCAUGGAGCCGACCUUGAAAUACCACCCUUUAAUGUUUGAUGUUCUAACGUUGACCCGUAAUCCGGGUUGCGGACAGUGUCUGGUGGGUAGUUUGACUGGGGCGGUCUCCUCCUAAAGAGUAACGGAGGAGCACGAAGGUUGGCUAAUCCUGGUCGGACAUCAGGAGGUUAGUGCAAUGGCAUAAGCCAGCUUGACUGCGAGCGUGACGGCGCGAGCAGGUGCGAAAGCAGGUCAUAGUGAUCCGGUGGUUCUGAAUGGAAGGGCCAUCGCUCAACGGAUAAAAGGUACUCCGGGGAUAACAGGCUGAUACCGCCCAAGAGUUCAUAUCGACGGCGGUGUUUGGCACCUCGAUGUCGGCUCAUCACAUCCUGGGGCUGAAGUAGGUCCCAAGGGUAUGGCUGUUCGCCAUUUAAAGUGGUACGCGAGCUGGGUUUAGAACGUCGUGAGACAGUUCGGUCCCUAUCUGCCGUGGGCGCUGGAGAACUGAGGGGGGCUGCUCCUAGUACGAGAGGACCGGAGUGGACGCAUCACUGGUGUUCGGGUUGUCAUGCCAAUGGCACUGCCCGGUAGCUAAAUGCGGAAGAGAUAAGUGCUGAAAGCAUCUAAGCACGAAACUUGCCCCGAGAUGAGUUCUCCCUGACCCUUUAAGGGUCCUGAAGGAACGUUGAAGACGACGACGUUGAUAGGCCGGGUGUGUAAGCGCAGCGAUGCGUUGAGCUAACCGGUACUAAUGAACCGUGAGGCUUAACCUU
rnacentral:rRNA from 1 species